UGCUGUGUGUCAAAGAUUUGCUUAGCUUGGAAGGUUGUUCUCUAAAGUACGAAGGUGACUUCUACGUGUGAAGAAGAUGAAGGAGACGAGGGUGACGACCAUCGCAUUCAUACGACAAAAUCUAUUUGUGCAACUUCUUCAUCUACCCUUCCUUUGAUAGGGGAAAUCGAAGCCUAUGAGUGGACAUUUUCAUCCGAGCAUGUGUGUGCCGAGAAUAUGGAUAUGGAUGAUCAGGCAUAUUUGUGUCCAAUGAUGUUGUUGUUGCAUCUGAUGGUGAAGUCAAAGCCGGUAAUGACAAUGUCGAUGCUAGUAGGGAAUGUGUUAUGAGAUUUUCCUAUUUUGGGGGUAUGGAUGAUUUGCCUGAUGGAGAGGUUGAAGUGAAUGGUGAGGAAAAUAGCGGAAACACGGUUCCGAUGCUAGUAGGACCCCGACUGUUAAUGUGUUUUUGCAUUACUUCUUUGUUUGCCAAAAUCCUAAGGUAGAUAUGUCUUUGAGCGAUGUCUGCGCCGGGGUCUCUUGGCUACCUAUUCCAACAGCAUCAAAUCCUUUAAAGACCGAUUUUUUCGUGCUAAUUAUCCAUAUAGCAGUGAAAUAUAUAAAAUACCUUGUAAGAUUUCAUCUUCUUUUUAUAAUUAGUUAUCGUAGGACAUUCAAGUUAUAUUAAAUUUCACUCAUUUUUUUUACUUUA